rnacentral:rRNA from 1 species
GACGAACGCCUUCGGCGUGCUUAACACAUGCAAGUCGAACGGAAAGGCCCUGCUUUUGUGGGGUGCUCGAGUGGCGAACGGGUGAGUAACACGUGAGUAACCUGCCCUUGACUUUGGGAUAACUUCAGGAAACUGGGGCUAAUACCGGAUAGGAGCUCCUGCUGCAUGGUGGGGGUUGGAAAGUUUCGGCGGUUGGGGAUGGACUCGCGGCUUAUCAGCUUGUUGGUGGGGUAGUGGCUUACCAAGGCUUUGACGGGUAGCCGGCCUGAGAGGGUGACCGGCCACAUUGGGACUGAGAUACGGCCCAGACUCCUACGGGAGGCAGCAGUGGGGAAUAUUGCACAAUGGGCGGAAGCCUGAUGCAGCAACGCCGCGUGCGGGAUGACGGCCUUCGGGUUGUAAACCGCUUUCGCCUGUGACGAAGCGUGAGUGACGGUAAUGGGUAAAGAAGCACCGGCUAACUACGUGCCAGCAGCCGCGGUGAUACGUAGGGUGCGAGCGUUGUCCGGAUUUAUUGGGCGUAAAGGGCUCGUAGGUGGUUGAUCGCGUCGGAAGUGUAAUCUUGGGGCUUAACCCUGAGCGUGCUUUCGAUACGGGUUGACUUGAGGAAGGUAGGGGAGAAUGGAAUUCCUGGUGGAGCGGUGGAAUGCGCAGAUAUCAGGAGGAACACCAGUGGCGAAGGCGGUUCUCUGGGCCUUUCCUGACGCUGAGGAGCGAAAGCGUGGGGAGCGAACAGGCUUAGAUACCCUGGUAGUCCACGCUGUAAACGGUGGGUACUAGGUGUGGGGUCCAUUCCACGGGUUCCGUGCCGUAGCUAACGCUUUAAGUACCCCGCCUGGGGAGUACGGCCGCAAGGCUAAAACUCAAAGGAAUUGACGGGGCCCCGCACAAGCGGCGGAGCAUGCGGAUUAAUUCGAUGCAACGCGUAGAACCUUACCUGGGUUUGACAUGGAUCGGGAGUGCUCAGAGAUGGGUGUGCCUCUUUUGGGGUCGGUUCACAGGUGGUGCAUGCCUGUCGUCAGCUCGUGUCGUGAGAUGUUGGGUUAAGUCCCGCAACGAGCGCAACCCUUGUUCACUGUUGCCAGCACGUUAUGGUGGGGACUCAGUGGAGACCGCCGGGGUCAACUCGGAGGAAGGUGGGGAUGACGUCAAGUCCUCAUGCCCCUUAUGUCCAGGGCUUCACGCAUGCUACAAUGGCUGGUACAGAGAGUGGCGAGCCUGUGAGGGUGAGCGAAUCUCGGAAAGCCGGUCUCAGUUCGGAUUGAGGUCUGCAACUCGACCUCAUGAAGUCGGAGUCGCUAGUAAUCGCAGAUCAGCAACGCUGCGGUGAAUACGUUCCCGGGGCU